rfam:Schistosoma haematobium scaffold517_16, whole genome shotgun sequence.
AUCUAGCUGACAGGUCCAAAAUAAGAUGAAACGCGUGUCCUGGAU